GAUCAUGGCUCAGGAUGAACGCUAGCGACAGGCCUAACACAUGCAAGUCGAGGGGCAGCGAAGAGGUAGCAAUACCUUUGUCGGCGACCGGCGCACGGGUGAGUAACACGUAUGCAACCCACCUGUAACAGGGGGAUAACCCGGAGAAAUCCGGACUAAUACCCCAUAAUAUGGGCGCUCCGCAUGGAGAGCCCAUUAAAGAGAGCAAUUUUGGUUACAGACGAGCAUGCGCUCCA
rnacentral:rRNA from 1 species